rnacentral:rRNA from 1 species
CCUACGGGUGGCAGCAGUGGGGGAUAUUGGACAAUGGGGGAAACCCUGAUCCAGCGACGCCGCGUGAGUGAAGAAGUAUUUCGGUAUGUAAAGCUCCAUCAGUAGGGAAGAAAGACAUGACGGUACCUGAGUAAUAAGUCUCGGCUAACUACGUGCCAGCAGCCGCGGUAAUACGUAGGGGGCAAGCGUUCUCCGGAAUUACUGGGUGUAAAGGGAGCGUAGACGGUAAUGCAAGUCUGGAGUGAAAGGCGGGGGCCCAACCCCCGGACUGCUCUGGAAACUGUGUGACUGGAGUGCAGGAGAGGCAGGCGGAAUUCGUGGUGUAGCGGUGAAAUGCGUAGAUAUUAGGAAGAACACCAGUGGCGAAGGCGGCCUGCUGGACUGUAACUGACGUUGAGGCUCGAAAGCGUGGGGAGCAAACAGGAUUAGAUACCCCAGUAGUC